rnacentral:rRNA from 1 species
CGAACGCUGGCGGCGUGCCUAACACAUGCAAGUCGAGCGGGGUUAUUGGGGUUCAGCUUGCUGAACGCCACUGACCCAGGCGGCGGACGGGUGAGUAACGCGUGAGCAAUCUGCCUCAUACAGGGGGAUAACAGGCGGAAACGCCUGCUAAUACCGCAUAAGACCACGCCACCGCAUGGUGGAGCGGUCAAAGGGUGCACAGACGAGAGGCUGUGCAUACCGGUAUGAGAUGAGCUCGCGUCCCAUUAGCUUGUUGGUGAGGUAACGGCUCACCAAGGCGACGAUGGGUAGCCGACCUGAGAGGGUGAUCGGCCACACUGGGACUGAGACACGGCCCAGACUCCUACGGGAGGCAGCAGUGGGGAAUAUUGCGCAAUGGGGGGAACCCUGACGCAGCAACGCCGCGUGAGCGAAGAAGACCUUCGGGUCGUAAAGCUCUGUCAUAGGGGAAGAGGAGAAGACGGUACCCUAUGAGGAAGCCCCGGCUAACUACGUG